rnacentral:rRNA from 1 species
CCGAGAGGUCAAAGGGGGCUCGCAAGGGCUCUCGCCACAGGAGGAGUCCGCGUUCGAUUAGCUAGUUGGUAGGGUAAUGGCCUACCAAGGCGACGAUCGAUAGCCGGCCUGAGAGGGUGAUCGGCCACACUGGAACUGAGACACGGUCCAGACUCCUACGGGAGGCAGCAGUGGGGAAUUUUGCGCAAUGGGCUAACGCCUGACGCAGCAACGCCGCGUGGAGGAUGAAGGUCUUUGGAUUGUAAACUCCUGUCGACCGAGAAAAAGCAACUCGACCUAACACGUCGGGGAGUUGAUUGUACCGGUGGAGGAAGCCCCGGCUAACUCUGUGCCAGCAGCCCGCGGUAAUACAGAGGGGGCAAGCGUUAUUCGGAAUUAUUGGGCGUAAAGGGCGCCUAAGCCGGCUUGGCAAGUGGAAAG